CGAUAUGAUACCGGGACAGCACUCGCGGAACCCCUGGACUAAGAAUUAAACUGGAUGGGAAAAGAUAUGAGAAGAAAUUGAGAAAUUAAGUUAAGAUAUUUUGAGUUUUAAGUGAUAAGCUAGAUAGACAUUGAACUUAGUUAAUAUAUUUUAAAGUUUGUGUUCUUUACAUAUGUUCUAGCAAUUUUUAUGUUUUUUUCUGAUAAGAUAAGUAAAUAUACAAAAAUCAAACACGUAGUUAUACAAGUAAGAUCACUACUGAUGAUGUCGAUAUUCGUUGAUUAUUCUAAUUGUUCAAUAAAAAGAAUUGUACAUUUGUUCGAGUGUCUUUGACAGUAAAAACGCACGGUUGUGCUAUUUAAGGGGUGUUUCCCGUUGGAAUGUAUUUUUUCCUGUUGGGCCGUUCGGUACAAAACACUCAAUUUUAAUUGAAAAUAUUAACGAUUGUAAUGUAAUAGAAGUUGCUAGAACAUUUUGUAUGUUUAAAAAUAAUUUUGUCAUAAAUAUAUUGCACAAUAAAAUACGUAAAAUCGUUUAGGGUAAGAGGUAAUGUGGCUAGAUAUUGUCGGAAUAAAAAUCGUGUGUUUUUAAUAUAAUAUUGUAAUUUCAUUUUAUAUGACUUAUCUAAGAUUGGUAAUAAAAUAAUCUAUUGAA